rnacentral:sRNA from 1 species
GUCUAUAUUUGGUAAUAUCUGGAGAAAACUCUGAUAAACCUGGUGUGGGCUCCUUAGGGCAAGUGAGAUCCCAAGGGCCAUGGUAAGAUAGCUUCUCCUGUCUUACUGCAGGAAGUCCUCAUCCCUGAGAUGAAGUGGAGAAAGGUAUGCCCUUCCUCCAGGUCCCUGUCUCUCCCAGACAACAUCCCUUGUAUCCCUCCAUCAUCCGUGGACUCCACAGACAGUUUCUUCCCCUCCAGGAAGCCUCCGAUGUCUGAAUGCUGUCUAUGAGGAGGACGAGCUGGAGGAGGAGCCCAGGAGCACUGGGGAGCUGAGGCUCUGGGAUUACCGGCUCCUCAAGGUCUUCUUUGUGCUGAUCUGCUUCCUGGUCAUGUCCUCAUCCUAUCUGGCAUUCCGUAUUUCUCGGCUAGAGCAGCAGUUACGCUCCUUGAGUUGGGACGGCCCAGUCCCUGGGCACAGGUAACAGCCACUUGGCCUCUGUCCCCAUUCCCUCUCCAAGAAGAAUGUUCUGGGUGCUAAGUCUCCACCAAUGAUCCCUGUGGUUUAUGCUGCUGCUGUGCUAAG